GACGAACGCCGGCGGCGUGCUUAACACAUGCAAGUCGAGCGGAAAGGCCCUGCUUUUGUGGGGUGCUCGAGUGGCGAACGGGUGAGUAACACGUGAGUAACCUGCCCUUGACUUUGGGAUAACUUCAGGAAACUGGGGCUAAUACCGGAUAGGAGCUCCUGCUGCAUGGUGGGGGUUGGAAAGUUUCGGCGGUUGGGGAUGGACUCGCGGCUUAUCAGCUUGUUGGUGGGGUAGUGGCUUACCAAGGCUUUGACGGGUAGCCGGCCUGAGAGGGUGACCGGCCACAUUGGGACUGAGAUACGGCCCAGACUCCUACGGGAGGCAGCAGUGGGGAAUAUUGCACAAUGGGCGGAGGCCUGAUGCAGCAACGCCGCGUGCGGGAUGACGGCCUUCGGGUUGUAAACCGCUUUCGCCUGUGACGAAGCGUGAGUGACGGUAAUGGGUAAAGAAGCACCGGCUAACUACGUG
rnacentral:rRNA from 1 species